CAAACAUGAAGUUUACAAGCACCCAGCUUGCAAAAAACCACAGUUUUUGAGGCUUAUCGUGUGCACGUGUUGCUUAGCACGAGAUUAAGGUAACAUAACGGUCGGUCACAGCUGGCCCGGCGAGGCAAUCAGUUGUGUCCAAUAAGAAGAGAGAGCGCCUCGCUUUCUCUUAUUUGCCCCAGGUGCUGUUGAUGUAGGGUACUUGUUUCCCACUACAAAGUGCAAGCUGUGGAGUAAGGAGCAGUGAAUGUUCUUUCAUUUGAGUGCCAGCAUGGAUGGAGUUGCACGGAGUUCGGAUUUGGCGUGGGAAAAUUUGUCUUCUAUCCUAUCCACACAGUGCCCAGAAAAGAUGCCAAAUGGCUUUGGAGUAAGGGACUUAUAUAGUCUUCUGGCUGUUUUAGCCCUACUGUAGACCUUCUACAGGUAAUUGGCAUUCUCCUCAAGUCUCUCUGUAUUUAUGUUCACGCUCCCCAAACAAGCUUAUUUAGGUAGUCUUGGCUGUUGUUUGUAAGUACAAGCAUGGGUUUGUUUGUUUGUUUUCCCAGUAAUGGCCCAGAAUCUGCUGUGAAACCCCUAAAUGUCAGACAUGGACACAAGUGUGGACUGAAGUCUUCCAUCUUCUGAUUCUAGCUGAGUAAAAACAUCAUCUGUAUAAAGGUCCAGGAUGUUUCACUUUCACUACACUGUCAGGACAGUAGCAGUAAAUUGAGUCAUUAAGCUUAUAUGUGUCCAUGCUGCUCUCAACAGCUCUGAUCACACUGCUGUGCACUCUAAGCGAUCUCACAUGCUCAAUAUAUAAGGAUGACAUGGUUUUCUCAGACCUCUGCUGAACCUGUCAUCUGUGUUUAUGGAUAAAUAGUCUGUAACACAGCUCACGCAUGAGCAUUUUGCUUCUUCAUGUAAAAGGAGCCCGGGAAAUGAUGUGUGAAUGACGUACUUUGUAGACAAGCAAGAUUUUUCUUUAUUCACCUUUUAGAUCUGCAUGAUUAAAAGAAGUCCUAAAGUAAUAAUGGUUUACAGAGCAGAUACAAGAAGGAAUUUGGCAGAGAUCAAAACAUCUCCCAGAUAUGAACGUAUCUAAAAUGAAACUUUGCAUGGAAUUGUAUGAAAACAAUAAGUUAAAAUGGCCAGUGAAAUCAGGAAUGCCGCAGAAAAAGCUGGACUUGAGAAACAAUCAAGAAGUGAGAUAACUCAGUUCCUAAGAAUGUUCUGAAGCAGUGAUUGGCAACAACAACCACCAAAGGCCAAAUGCUUGAAUAUCAGCUUGCCUGUUCUCCCUUCACAGAACGGCACUCGGUAAUUUGUUCUGAGAACGUUUUUGAAGGAGUGUAUCCAACAUUUCCAAUUACAUCUUGAAAGUUUGGCACAAAGAGAAAAGAUGUGAGAAAGAUCUUAAAAAUGGAGAAAUGAAGAAAUAUUUCAGGCUGCUGCUUUUUUCUCAUUUGACUUCUGGAUAAUUUGAUCUGCUAGAGGUAUUAAGAGGCUUUAUUUAAUAGCUGUGAUCAUCAGAUAACAGUUUUGGGGGGGGAAAAAAAAGGAAAAAUAGGACUGAGAAGCUGCUGUUUGCUAUCUAGUAUAUGAAUGAGCUCUCACAAGCACAUGUAUCUCAACUGAACAGUACAGUUUUAAGCAAAUGAUAAGAGUGGGCAGGAAAGACAUUCACUGCUAUCAUAAUCAAGCACUUCAUAAAGUAAUUAAUUAGAUAAAACCAUUACCAUAGGCAAAUACUAAUGUUAAAUAAGUAUUCACAUACUGUGUUCAUUCAUACACGAGCUGGGUGUUAUAUCUUGUUAUACUGUCAUUCAAGUCCCUUGUAAUCUGUGUAAUUGAUUCCCGGAUUUCAGUGGCCACUGCAAUACGUUGUGAAAGGGCAAAUGUAUUUAUUCUUGAUCUUAUCUGGCAGAAGAGUGAAGACAUGAUAGGAGUCUUAAGCAAGAAACAGCUGCCAGAAUGGAAGUAAUAAUUUGUUCUCUACCUUUCUUUAUUGAGGAAACAGACUCUUGAGUUUAAAUUUCAUAAAGGAGAUUUGGUUUUGAUAUCUGGAAGACAACUUUGUAGUAGGAAGGAGUCUGACUCCUGGGAGUUUUGUCCACCUCUGUCUCCAGCCAUUGCCAGGAAUAGUUUAAGAUUAGCCCAUCCUGCCAUGGAACAAGAGAUAGGGCUAGAUAACUACCAGCAAAUGGCCAAUGUAAUUUUCGUCUCUGAAUUUCCUCAGGUGCAACAUUUUGCACUACCAUUCAAUAACAAUAUUAUUGAAAUGAUAUGAAAUGUGCAAUGAAAACAGAAGAAUGUGUGUUAUGCCCUCUGCUCACUUCUGAGCAGAUAAUGUCUUCUAGCACCAUGACAGUAGGAACUUGAGAUGAGCCUUAGUCCCCAUAAGGUGUGUGCAGUUACAGCUUAGAGAUGGUGAAGUGUGAGGGUGUCUGAGUCUUGGCUAUCCAUGAGAACAGAACCUUAUGCUAACCCUCCGGUGGCAUGUUAUUCAAAGGAGAAGCUUUACCAAGCCCUCAGAGAAUCUUAUUUUUAAGAAGUGCACUUAAAGCUCCUUUUUGAAGCAUGCAUUAGACAAAGUGCAUCUGAAUGGGUACUGUGAAACCUGCAAUCUGAAAAAGCCUCAAUAACAAAUCAAAUCCUUUCUGGCAUAGUUUUCUGUACUGGCAUAUGUUUAUUCUCUCUGGGAGGUCUCCUCUUCAGCACUUCAUGCUUGGAAUGUAUGAGCAAAUAGAAUUUUCUUUUCAGAAGUGAAGGAAGUUCUGCUGGAAAGUUUCCUCUAGAAGAUAUAUUUUUUUUAAGUGUUUAAAAGCUAAAGACUUUUCUUUCUCCCUUGGAAGUGCCUGUUUUCUUGAAAGCCUUAAUCUUAAAGAAUUGAGACAGUACUUUGUAGAACUUAAAGUCUGAGUAUAUUGCAUUUUCCUUUCAUCUUUAUGCCAGGGCUUCCCAUCCAGAUCUUUUCUUCUGUAUUGUUUGUUAUGGCAGGGUACCCAUAGUACAUUUGGUAAGCAAGCAGCAAAGGAAAUGGUGGUGAAUUAAGGGAAAUAUAAACUCACAGAAUAGUCUGGGAGAAUGAGAGCUCAAAGCAAGAAAACAUUUCUGCUGUGCGCUGAAUGCUAUAGAGUGAAAAAGAUUUAAUGGAACUCUGGAUCUAGAAGUGUGGGUAUGGUACAGUACUUCACUAGAACAAAUUAAAACCUGGCUAAUACGUUUUUCUAGUGCAAGAAGCCCCUCAAGAAUUAUUUUCCUGUGCAGCUUAUACAGCAAAAUUGGUUAGUGCUUAUUUAGGGGUAGCGACCAAUUUGCAAGACAGACCCAGCUUAUACCUCAAGAUCAUGGAAGAUAAUUCAAAACUUGAACAUUUUAGUAUUAACUUAAGAUACGAAUAGAUUUAUUUAUUUGCAGUGGAGUUGAAUAAAUAUUGACAAAAAUAUCUCCCA
ensembl:lncRNA